UGACGGGUGUGUGAUUCCAUGUACAAGAUGGUAUAAUCCAUAUUGAAAUUCAAUGCGGCAUUUUGGUCAACGGUCAAGUUGACCCUAAUAUCGAGUUAAAUUUGAUAGACUCGGUGAUAAUCAUAUAUCGUUAGUGGUAUAUGAAUCAGACAUGUACGAUAGUGAUAAUAAAAUAUCAAUCCAAUCUCGAGCUCGAUUUAUUUAUCCCGAAAAUACCCAGCCGAGGGAAUUUAUAAAUUUACGUGAUCAUAUCAUCAGGCGUUGAGGUCACAGACGUAUGGCAACAAUGCAAUUAUACCGUUUUUGGAUUCACAACCGCUUAUUACAUCGCCGCCAGUACCUCUUGGUAGGCUUGGAAUAUUCUAUAAGAGUCAACCAGGUUACGGAGGAUUUUUUGGCAUUUAAACUGAUUUCGUCAAAAUACAUGCAUUUCAUCAGUGAAAAUUAUGCCGAAAAAUUGACUAUCACA